GGGUUGUGAGGUUAAGCGACUAAGCGUACACGGUGGAUGCCCUGGCAGUCAGAGGCGAUGAAGGACGUGCUAAUCUGCGAUAAGCGUCGGUAAGGUGAUAUGAACCGUUAUAACCGGCGAUUUCCGAAUGGGGAAACCCAGUGUGUUUCGACACACUAUCAUUAACUGAAUCCAUAGGUUAAUGAGGCGAACCGGGGGAACUGAAACAUCUAAGUACCCCGAGGAAAAGAAAUCAACCGAGAUUCCCCCAGUAGCGGCGAGCGAACGGGGAGCAGCCCAGAGCCUGAAUCAGUGUGUGUGUUAGUGGAAGCGUCUGGAAAGGCGCGCGAUACAGGGUGACAGCCCCGUACACAAAAAUGCACAUAUUGUGAGCUCGAUGAGUAGGGCGGGACACGUGGUAUCCUGUCUGAAUAUGGGGGGACCAUCCUCCAAGGCUAAAUACUCCUGACUGACCGAUAGUGAACCAGUACCGUGAGGGAAAGGCGAAAAGAACCCCGGCGAGGGGAGUGAAAAAGAACCUGAAACCGUGUACGUACAAGCAGUGGGAGCACGCUUAGGCGUGUGACUGCGUACCUUUUGUAUAAUGGGUCAGCGACUUAUAUUCUGUAGCAAGGUUAACCGAAUAGGGGAGCCGAAGGGAAACCGAGUCUUAACUGGGCGUUAAGUUGCAGGGUAUAGACCCGAAACCCGGUGAUCUAGCCAUGGGCAGGUUGAAGGUUGGGUAACACUAACUGGAGGACCGAACCGACUAAUGUUGAAAAAUUAGCGGAUGACUUGUGGCUGGGGGUGAAAGGCCAAUCAAACCGGGAGAUAGCUGGUUCUCCCCGAAAGCUAUUUAGGUAGCGCCUCGUGAAUUCAUCUCCGGGGGUAGAGCACUGUUUCGGCAAGGGGGUCAUCCCGACUUACCAACCCGAUGCAAACUGCGAAUACCGGAGAAUGUUAUCACGGGAGACACACGGCGGGUGCUAACGUCCGUCGUGAAGAGGGAAACAACCCAGACCGCCAGCUAAGGUCCCAAAGUCAUGGUUAAGUGGGAAACGAUGUGGGAAGGCCCAGACAGCCAGGAUGUUGGCUUAGAAGCAGCCAUCAUUUAAAGAAAGCGUAAUAGCUCACUGGUCGAGUCGGCCUGCGCGGAAGAUGUAACGGGGCUAAACCAUGCACCGAAGCUGCGGCAGCGACGCUGAUGCGUUGUUGGGUAGGGGAGCGUUCUGUAAGCCUGUGAAGGUGUGCUGUGAGGCAUGCUGGAGGUAUCAGAAGUGCGAAUGCUGACAUAAGUAACGAUAAAGCGGGUGAAAAGCCCGCUCGCCGGAAGACCAAGGGUUCCUGUCCAACGUUAAUCGGGGCAGGGUGAGUCGACCCCUAAGGCGAGGCCGAAAGGCGUAGUCGAUGGGAAACAGGUUAAUAUUCCUGUACUUGGUGUUACUGCGAAGGGGGGACGGAGAAGGCUAUGUUGGCCGGGCGACGGUUGUCCCGGUUUAAGCGUGUAGGCUGGUUUUCCAGGCAAAUCCGGAAAAUCAAGGCUGAGGCGUGAUGACGAGGCACUACGGUGCUGAAGCAACAAAUGCCCUGCUUCCAGGAAAAGCCUCUAAGCAUCAGGUAACAUCAAAUCGUACCCCAAACCGACACAGGUGGUCAGGUAGAGAAUACCAAGGCGCUUGAGAGAACUCGGGUGAAGGAACUAGGCAAAAUGGUGCCGUAACUUCGGGAGAAGGCACGCUGAUAUGUAGGUGAAGUCCCUUGCGGAUGGAGCUGAAAUCAGUCGAAGAUACCAGCUGGCUGCAACUGUUUAUUAAAAACACAGCACUGUGCAAACACGAAAGUGGACGUAUACGGUGUGACGCCUGCCCGGUGCCGGAAGGUUAAUUGAUGGGGUCAGCGCAAGCGAAGCUCUUGAUCGAAGCCCCGGUAAACGGCGGCCGUAACUAUAACGGUCCUAAGGUAGCGAAAUUCCUUGUCGGGUAAGUUCCGACCUGCACGAAUGGCGUAAUGAUGGCCAGGCUGUCUCCACCCGAGACUCAGUGAAAUUGAACUCGCUGUGAAGAUGCAGUGUACCCGCGGCAAGACGGAAAGACCCCGUGAACCUUUACUAUAGCUUGACACUGAACAUUGAGCCUUGAUGUGUAGGAUAGGUGGGAGGCUUGGAAGUGUGGACGCCAGUCUGCAUGGAGCCGACCUUGAAAUACCACCCUUUAAUGUUUGAUGUUCUAACGUUGACCCGUAAUCCGGGUUGCGGACAGUGUCUGGUGGGUAGUUUGACUGGGGCGGUCUCCUCCUAAAGAGUAACGGAGGAGCACGAAGGUUGGCUAAUCCUGGUCGGACAUCAGGAGGUUAGUGCAAUGGCAUAAGCCAGCUUGACUGCGAGCGUGACGGCGCGAGCAGGUGCGAAAGCAGGUCAUAGUGAUCCGGUGGUUCUGAAUGGAAGGGCCAUCGCUCAACGGAUAAAAGGUACUCCGGGGAUAACAGGCUGAUACCGCCCAAGAGUUCAUAUCGACGGCGGUGUUUGGCACCUCGAUGUCGGCUCAUCACAUCCUGGGGCUGAAGUAGGUCCCAAGGGUAUGGCUGUUCGCCAUUUAAAGUGGUACGCGAGCUGGGUUUAGAACGUCGUGAGACAGUUCGGUCCCUAUCUGCCGUGGGCGCUGGAGAACUGAGGGGGGCUGCUCCUAGUACGAGAGGACCGGAGUGGACGCAUCACUGGUGUUCGGGUUGUCAUGCCAAUGGCACUGCCCGGUAGCUAAAUGCGGAAGAGAUAAGUGCUGAAAGCAUCUAAGCACGAAACUUGCCCCGAGAUGAGUUCUCCCUGACUCCUUGAGAGUCCUGAAGGAACGUUGAAGACGACGACGUUGAUAGGCCGGGUGUGUAAGCGCAGCGAUGCGUUGAGCUAACCGGUACUAAUGAACCGUGAGGCUUAACCUUACAACGCCGAAGCUGUU
rnacentral:rRNA from 1 species